AAGUCGUAACAAGGUUUCCGUAGGUGAACCUGCGGAAGGAUCAUUAACACGUAUCCAACGUUAAACAACCCUGUGAACUUUCAGACGCUCUUGUAGCCCAGGAGGAACAGCAAUCCCGGUAAAUCAAUGGCGGAAAAGUUUUGAUUCGGACCUCUAUCCAAAAGGUAUCAAGUUACAAUCGAGCUAGGAGCAGUGCACGGUUUCCCUAAGCAGUGCAGAAGGAUCCACUGAGUAAGGAUAACGCAUCACGGUUGCCAGAGGUCGAUCACCGGCCGGCAGACAUGUCACAGGGCUUUACGCCCCUUCAUUCACCCCUUGCCUAAUCAAGCCCCGCGGAAACGCUGUAACAAUGGAUAUCUUGGUUCUC
rnacentral:misc_RNA from 1 species